GCGGAAGGCCCUUCGGGGUACUCGAGCGGCGAACGGGUGAGUAACACGUGAGCAACCUGCCCUAGGCUUUGGGAUAACCCUCGGAAACGGGGGCUAAUACCGAAUAUUCACUCACGGGCGCAUGUUUGUGGGUGGAAAGUUUUUCGGCUUGGGAUGGGCUCGCGGCCUAUCAGCUUGUUGGUGGGGUAAUGGCCUACCAAGGCGACGACGGGUAGCCGGCCUGAGAGGGCGACCGGCCACACUGGGACUGAGACACGGCCCAGACUCCUACGGGAGGCAGCAGUGGGGAAUAUUGCACAAUGGGCGGAAGCCUGAUGCAGCGACGCCGCGUGAGGGAUGACGGCCUUCGGGUUGUAAACCUCUUUCAGCAGGGACGAAGCGCAAGUGACGGUACCUGCAGAAGAAGCGCCGGCCAACUACGUGCCAGCAGCCGCGGUAAGACGUAGGGCGCGAGCGUUGUCCGGAUUUAUUGGGCGUAAAGAGCUCGUAGGCGGCUUGUCGCGUCGACUGUGAAAACCCGUGGCUCAACUGCGGGCCUGCAGUCGAUACGGGCAGGCUAGAGUUCGGUAGGGGAGACUGGAAUUCCUGGUGUAGCGGUGAAAUGCGCAGAUAUCAGGAGGAACACCGGUGGCGAAGGCGGGUCUCUGGGCCGAUACUGACGCUGAGGAGC
rnacentral:rRNA from 1 species